rnacentral:pre_miRNA from 1 species
CAUAUACUCUCUCCGUCCGGAAAUACUUGUCGGAGGAAUGGAUGUAUCUAGACAUAUCUUAGUUCUAGAUACAUUCAUUUUUAUCCAUUUCUUCGACAAGUAUUUUCGGACGGAGAGAGUACUAU